rnacentral:tRNA from 1 species
CGGGAAGAAGUAUAGGUUUUGUACGGUGAGUUUGGGACUCACUAGCCCUCGAUGUCGGGGUUUCCUGU